rnacentral:misc_RNA from 1 species
CGUCAUCCGCCUUGACAGAACCGGCAAUAUCAAACUGACCGUUCUUGAUCUUCACGAUGUACAUCGGAAGCAGCGUCUGGUUGUCCCCGGCACGAACGGUUCGCUGACCAGAUGGCGUCGACCACGACAACCCUCGAAGUGCAUCGCGAACUUUGUCCGUUUCAACACUUCCCGCCUUCUCCACGGCAGCCUUGUACGCAUAGACAAGGCUGUAGGAAUCCGCUGCAAAGAGAUCCGGAUCUGCCUUGAACUUGGCACGAUAGGCAUCAACGAA